GCCAAAAUCGUAUCGACCAAUGG
rnacentral:siRNA from 1 species